GUCCACUACCCAUACACGUAUCUUUCCCUAGGGUUUAUUCUUUCAUCUAUAUAUAUCAAUGCUGUUAUUCUCUCCUCGGGAAGAAACUUCAAGCCGCAAUCUUCUUUGAAACUCCAUGUACGGAAACCCUACUCCCUUGCUCAACAACAGCCCCGAACAGAAUACUCAAGUGCCGAGUUUUACUCCAUACGAUGGAAGCCUAACCUGAAUUCUUCAACUGCAGAGUUUUACUCCAUACGACGGAAGCCUAACCUGAAUUCUUCAACAGCACAGAGCCCACUGUCCUGUCCAACUCCACCCACGGCAUCGCAUCCAACCACAGAGGACCACCCAACCCGUGUACAUCAAACCUCUAUUUUUGCCUAUCAAAACAGAGCACAUUUUGUGCUCUCAACCCAUCACACAACGGAAGCCUAGCAGCUUCGCUAGCCCUCCUCGUCGCCUCCACCUGCAUGGGAGUUGCCGCUAAAUACUGCAUGUCACCCCAAUGGUUUUCUUCUCGAUAAUUUUUUAUGCUUCAGUUGGGAGUCAAGAGUAGGAAUCGUUAACAAUAUUCAAUGAUUGUUGAGGAAUAAGUGCCAGAGGUUACAAGUAGUUAUUAGGGAGUUUUAUUUGAUAGAUUUAUUAUUUAUGUUAUUUUGGUGUUUUGAGUCUUGGAUAUUUAUGAGUGUUGGAGGAGAUUUUAAUUUAUUUUAUUGAGGUUUUACUUCGGUAUCUUGAUGGAAGAAAAAGUACACUGGGUUUGAAUAAAUGAAUUUAUUAUUUUAGAGUA